GAAUUACAGAAUAAGACGUUUUGGUUCAAAUUCGAGAGGUUAGUUGUGCGCGUUUGGAAGAAAAGAUUCGUUGGCUAAUUAAACAGAAGAGGAAGCUUGAUCGAGAUGAUUUCACGGUGGCAGCAGAUAUUGAUCAUGAGGAGAAAGACGUGACGACGAACAACGAUAGUGUUAUUUGCGGUGGAGAGAGGCUUCGUUCAGAUUCUAGGAUUCAAAUUAAUGGUAGAUAGAAUUUUGACGUGGCCGCUUCCGCCUUCUGCCUCAAACUAAAACGAAUCUGCCAUUUUUGCAAGACCAAGCUAUUGUUGCUUUUGUUAGAAAAAAAUGGAGAAGAAGAUGAAAUAAGUGAGUGGAUCCUACUAGUUAUGUUUUGGUUAGAAAUGAAUGAAAUGAGUUAAAGAAAUUGUCGAAGGAGUAGAAUGUGUUUUCU
rnacentral:lncRNA from 1 species